UUGUCGGUGCCAUACGGGAUAAGGAUAGAAAAAUUUUAACUACUUCAAUGAGAGAAGACAUGAAAACAUGCAGAUGAGAAAACUUCCAAGCAAGUUCAUCCUCAUAUUAUGCAUUUUGGUCUACUUUUUUAAACUAGUGCAAUUUUCCUCACUCGUGUAGAUUUCGUAAUACAUAAAACUAUUUAAGGUUGUUUAAAGUUGUACUGACUCAUGCCUACUCAUUGCCAUUUUGAAAUGUAAUU
rnacentral:lncRNA from 1 species